rnacentral:lncRNA from 1 species
CUGACAUCUUUACCAAACCCCUUGAUGAAAAAAAGUUUAGCAUAAUUAGAAUAGAAUUAGGAAUGUGUUAUCAUUCAGAUUAGAUCUCUCAUCAUAGACUGAGCUAGUCCAAAUACAAAUCUUCUUGAAUCAAUAUUUUUUGCUAUUCCCUGGAAUUUCAAAAUUAUCAAUUUCUGGGGCUAGAGUCGACUCAUGGUCGAAAGUGCUAUUUUUAACCUGAGCCUUCUUUUCUUCGAAUCACUUUACCCUUUUUACUGUGCCCCAUAGAAACCUCUCC